rnacentral:piRNA from 1 species
UGCCAAAGCAAGACAUCCAACAUGGGGCA